rnacentral:rRNA from 1 species
UACGAAGGUCCCAAGCGUUAUCCGGAUUUAUUGGGUUUAAAGGGUGCGUAGGCGGAUUAUUAAGUCAGUGGUGAAAGCUCUCAGCCUAACUGAGAAAUUGCCAUUGAUACUGAUGAUCUUGAGUACAUUUGAAGUGGGCGGAAUGUGUCAUGUAGCGGUGAAAUGCUUAGAUAUGACACAGAACACCGAUUGCGUAGGCAGCUCACUUAACUGUAACUGACGCUGAGGCACGAAAGCGUGGGGAGCAAACAGG